rnacentral:rRNA from 1 species
GACGAACGCUGGCGGCGUGCUUAACACAUGCAAGUCGAACGGAAAGGCCCUGCUUUUGUGGGGUGCUCGAGUGGCGAACGGGUGAGUAACACGUGAGUAACCUGCCCUUGACUUUGGGAUAACUUCAGGAAACUGGGGCUAAUACCGGAUAGGAGCUCCUGCUGCAUGGUGGGGGUUGGAAAGUUUCGGCGGUUGGGGAUGGACUCGCGGCUUAUCAGCUUGUUGGUGGGGUAGUGGCUUACCCAGGCUUUGACGGGUAGCCGGCCUGAGAGGGUGACCGGCCACAUUGGGACUGAGAUACGGACCAGACUCCUACGGGAGGCAGCAGUGGGGAAUAUUGCACAGUGGGCGGAAGCCUGAUGCAGCAACGCCGCGUGCGGGAUGACGGCCUUCGGGUUGUAAACCGCUUUCGCCUGUGACGAAGCGUGAGUGACGGUAAUGGGUAAAGAAGCACCGGCUAACUACGUG